rnacentral:lncRNA from 1 species
GAGCGAGGCCCCGCCGGCCGGGCUUGACGUCAGGCUGGCAGGGCCUGGAACGGCCCCGCAUCGCGGCCCCCUGGGGGCAGGACGACACCGCUGGGGGCCGAGGGCAGGGCACGCCUUCGGAAUCCGGCUUCGAAGCCGGCCGCCUGACCUGGGGCAAGUGCUUUCAACUCUCUGAACUUCGGUUCCUCAUCUGCCAGUUGGCAGACGCUCAGCAAAUCUUCCUAGACUCACGGGGCGAAUUGUACAGUUGGGUAAAUCGAGGCCCAGAGAUGGCAAAAGGACCGUCCAAGGUCGUACAGCCACCCGGAAUUACAAUUCUUUUCUGCCGGGUCACACGCUGUCAUCCACGUGUUACCUAAGAGAGCUUUCCAGCCUGUGCUAAGAAAACUGCCCCACAUCAUCUGCAGUAGGACGGGGGAGUUGGAGCCCUGGUCAGGCCACUCUGCUACUGACCACAGUUUUCUCAUCUCUAAAAAGGCGCAGUAACAAUAUAAUUACCGUAUGCAGUCCCCCAGGAUACAGGGUCAAAGGAGAGCACAACCAUCGCAGUUGGAAGCCCAUGGGGCAGCAGGGCCCAGGACACAGUGAGCAUACAAUAGACAUUAGCUGCUGUGGUGUCUUGAUUUCAAGCCCAGUGCAGAUGCAUCUGACUUACGAAACUUCAGUGACACCUGCUCUGUGCCAGACACUGAAGAUGGAGCAGUGAACAGCACUGACCCAGCCUGUCCUCCUGUUGCCUGCAGGCCAGAAGCAAGGUCUCGCUGUGUUACCCUGGCUGGAGUGCAGUGGCUACUUACAGGCAUGAUCAUAGCAUACUGCAGCCUCGAACUCCUGGACUAGAGCAGUUCUCCUGCCUCAGCCUCCAGAGCAGCUGGGACUGCAGACACGCACCACAGAGCCCAGCCUGAGUCAUUUUGAUUCUGUAACUGGCUUCCUCUCGGCGGGCAGGCUCACACCCUCCACCCCCAGCUGGAGAUGGAAGGAGGAUGCUCACCGCCCAUUCCUCAUGCAGGCCAUCGAUGGAAAUGUCAGACAGUGCGAGUCCACGCCUGAACACUUCUGGGGUCCGCUCUGGGACUGACACUGGCAGAUCCAUCGUGGCACCCGAGCUCUGUGAGGGCAAGACUUUGUUCGGUUGUGGGCUAUGCCCCCAACCCCUCGGACAGUGCCUGCACAGGUGGACAUUUUUGUUGGAUGAAGGAUUUUCUGUUAAAUGUGUCUGGCACACACAGAAAAACAAAGCCCAGCAGGUACGAUGGUGAUUAUUAUUGUUACUGGUGGCGCUCUAUUAUUGUUAUUAGUGUCUGUUGAAAAAGACCCUGAGCUAUACCA